UCGCCGGGUGCUUUCCGUAAAUUGGUUUGAACAGUGUGUUCUGCCUUGUUUCUUGGACUGGUGGAUUUUACACGAAUUUCAUGUACGGAAGGACGGCAUGCCGCGCCUUGUGUUCGAAUUUGAAGUACAUCGGUGAUUUGUCGUUUUACAACUCGAAUGAAAGCAUGUGGACUUACUUGACUACUUCGGUCACCACGUUUACUUGCAAAAAAGACGUGAUGACUAACAUAAGCAACGAUUCUGUUACACUUUCAACAUACUAUUUCAACAUACAAAACGAAAGUUGUAACUACAGCUCCACAGGCUCACUCUAUAACGUCUGGAACAUGCCGCCUCCCCUUAACCUCAUGUUCAUUACUGACAACGGGACGGACUUCGCUCGCAAGGAGAUUGUUUAUGCCUCAAAAGACCGCACUUGUGCUGUCAUUCAAGUUGAGAGAAAAAAUGGCUGGUAUCCCCACUUCGACAUUCUCGUAAAGAACUCCAAGGUGAAUGAAACCCUUGACUCUGAAUGUGAAAAUAAUUUCAAAAAGGAAGCUCCUCGAAGCCGCAGCCCAACGCGGAAGGUCUACAAUGAGCACUGCCAAUC